rnacentral:rRNA from 1 species
AUUGAACGCUGGCGGCAUGCCUUACACAUGCAAGUCGAACGGUAACGGGCCUUCGGGUGCCGACGAGUGGCGAACGGGUGAGUAAUGCAUCGGAACGUACCUUUCAGUGGGGGAUAACGUAGCGAAAGUUACGCUAAUACCGCAUAUUCUGUGAGCAGGAAAGCAGGGGAUCGCAAGACCUUGCGCUGAUUGAGAGGCCGAAGUCAGAUUAGCUAGUUGGUGAGGUAAAGGCUCACCAAGGCGACGAUCUGUAGCGGGUCUGAGAGGAUGAUCCGCCACACUGGAACUGAGACACGGUCCAGACUCCUACGGGAGGCAGCAGUGGGGAAUUUUGGACAAUGGGGGCAACCCUGAUCCAGCCAUGCCGCGUGAGUGAAGAAGGCCUUCGGGUUGUAAAGCUCUUUCGGCCGGGAAGAAAUCGUAUGGGCUAAUACCCUGUGCGGAUGACGGUACCGGCAUAAGAAGCACCGGCUAACUACGUGCCAGCAGCCGCCGUAAGAC